rnacentral:rRNA from 1 species
UACGGAGGAUGCGAGCGUUAUCCGGAUUUAUUGGGUUUAAAGGGUGCGCAGGCGGUCUGUUAAGUCAGCGGUCAAAGCCCGGGGCUCAACACCGGCCGGCCGUUGAAACUGGCAGCCUUGAGUGAGCGAGAAGUAUGCGGAAUGCGUGGUGUAGCGGUGAAAUGCAUAGAUAUCACGCAGAACCCCGAUUGCGAAGGCAGCAUGCCGGCUUCCUACUGACGCUGAAGCACGAAAGCGUGGGGAUCGAACAGG